UUGUGGAGGAGGACGCCGAAGGUGGGGCUAAUGACUGGGGUGAAGUCGUAACAAGGUAGCCGUACCGGAAGGUGCGGCUGGAUCACCUCCUAACAGGGAGACAACAAAAUGUUUAAUAUUAUUAUUUUGUCACCUUAGGUCGAUCGGUAUCUCACGUUCUUAAUUCAUUAAGAAUUUCAUUUCCUAAGUUUUUCUAGGUCACACCCAUUAUUUUUCCUGGGCCAUUAGCUCAGGUGGCUAGAGCGCACCCCUGAUAAGGGUGAGGUCCCUGGUUCAAGUCCAGGAUGGCCCAUAUCUCUAUGUUGGGGGUAUAGCUCAGUUGGUAGAGCGCCUGCUUUGCGAGCAGGAUGUCAGCGGUUCGAGUCCGCUUACCUCCACUGAUUACCACCUCUUCCAUAAUCUGUAGAAAGGAAAUUUUUUGAGUUGUGAUCAAUUUCUUAACGAAUCUAGCUUCCUAAUGAAAGCAUUAAGAUGCUGGACUCAUUGAAUUAAUUUCAUUGUUUUCAGAGAACCUUGACAACUGCAUAGAUUAUUUUUUUAAAGACAAUAAGCAUCUUUAAUGAUGCAGAUUUAUUAUUUGUGCGAAUGCAUUAAUAACAAUUCUAUUAAGCUGAUGCUUCAAUUUUGAAGUUAUUGGUCAAGCUACAA
rnacentral:misc_RNA from 1 species